AUGAACGCUAGCGGCAGGCCUAACACAUGCAAGUCGAGGGGCAGCACGGUGUAGCAAUACACUGGUGGCGACCGGCGCACGGGUGCGUAACGCGUAUGCAACCUACCCAUAACAGGGGGAUAACACUGAGAAAUUGGUACUAAUACCCCAUAACAUCAGGACCGGCAUCGGUUCUGGUUGAAAACUCCGGUGGUUAUGGAUGGGCAUGCGUUGUAUUAGCUGGUUGGUGAGGUAACGGCUCACCAAGGCAACGAUACAUAGGGGGACUGAGAGGUUAACCCCCCACAUUGGUACUGAGACACGGACCAAACUCCUACGGGAGGCAGCAGUGAGGAAUAUUGGUCAAUGGACGCAAGUCUGAACCAGCCAUGCCGCGUGCAGGAAGACGGCUCUAUGAGUUGUAAACUGCUUUUGUACGAGGGUAAACGCUCUUACGCGUAAGAGCCUGAAAGUAUCGUACGAAUAAGGAUCGGCUAACUCCGUGCCAGCAGCCGCGGUAAUACGGAGGAUCCAAGCGUUAUCCGGAUUUAUUGGGUUUAAAGGGUGCGUAGGCGGUUUGAUAAGUUAGAGGUGAAAUACCGGUGCUUAACACCGGAACUGCCUCUAAUACUGUUGAACUAGAGAGUAGUUGCGGUAGGCGGAAUGUAUGGUGUAGCGGUGAAAUGCUUAGAGAUCAUACAGAACACCGAUUGCGAAGGCAGCUUACCAAACUAUAUCUGACGUUGAGGCACGAAAGCGUGGGGAGCAAACAGGAUUAGAUACCCUGGUAGUCCACGCAGUAAACGAUGAUAACUCGCUGUCGGCGAUACACAGUCGGCGGCUAAGCGAAAGCGAUAAGUUAUCCACCUGGGGAGUACGUUCGCAAGAAUGAAACUCAAAGGAAUUGACGGGGGCCCGCACAAGCGGAGGAACAUGUGGUUUAAUUCGAUGAUACGCGAGGAACCUUACCCGGGCUUAAAUUGCAGAUGAAUUACGGUGAAAGCCGUAAGCCGCAAGGCAUCUGUGAAGGUGCUGCAUGGUUGUCGUCAGCUCGUGCCGUGAGGUGUCGGGUUAAGUCCCAUAACGAGCGCAACCCCUACCGUUAGUUGCCAUCAGGUCAAGCUGGGCACUCUGGCGGGACUGCCGGUGUAAGCCGAGAGGAAGGUGGGGAUGACGUCAAAUCAGCACGGCCCUUACGUCCGGGGCUACACACGUGUUACAAUGGUAGGUACAGAGGGCAGCUACCCAGUGAUGGGAUGCGAAUCUCGAAAGCCUAUCUCAGUUCGGAUCGGAGGCUGAAACCCGCCUCCGUGAAGUUGGAUUCGCUAGUAAUCGCGCAUCAGCCAUGGCGCGGUGAAUACGUUCCCGGGCCUUGUACACACCGCCCGUCAAGCCAUGGAAGCUGGGGGUGCCUGAAGUUCGUGACCGCAAGGAGCGACCUAGGGCAAAACCGGUGACUGGGGCU
rnacentral:rRNA from 1 species